rnacentral:tRNA from 1 species
GGGAUAACUGCCUGAAUGUGCAAAAUUGGUGCAGUACAUAAUCGGACUACGCUACAGCCCUAGAUAAACUGCCAUUUUCUUGAGUUAUGUAACUACCUUGACAUGGUAGGGGUCACAGGUUCAAUCCCUGUUGCGCCCACCA